CCUACGGGAGGCAGCAGUCGAGAAUCAUUCACAAUGGGGGAAACCCUGAUAGUGCGACGCCGCGUGGGGGAAUGAAGGUCUUCGGAUUGUAAACCCCUGUCAUGUGGGAGCAAAUUAUAAAGAUAGUACCACAAUAGGAAGAGACGGCUAACUCUGUGCCAGCAGCCGCGGUAAUACAGAGGUCUCAAGCGUUGUUCGGAAUUACUGGGCGUAAAGCGUGCGUAGGCUGUUUCGUAGGGCGUGUGUGAAAGGCGCGGGCUCAACCCGCGGACGGCACAUGAUACUGCGAGACUAGAGUAGUGGAGGGGGAACCGGAAUUCUCGGUGUAGCAGUGAAAUGCGUAGAUAUCGAGAGGAACACUCGUGGCGAAGGCGGGUUCCUGGACAUUAACUGACGCUGAGGCACGAAGGCCAGGGGAGCGAAAGGGAUCAGAUACCCGGGUAGUC
rnacentral:rRNA from 1 species